AACGCACAUUGCGCCUUUCGGCAUUCCGGAGGGCAUGCCUGUUCGAGAGUCAUUAACAACCAGUUCAAUCCCUCUUUGAAAAUAUUUGGGGGAUUGGUUAUUGGUGAAUGAGGGGAUGCGUGCAUCACGUUGAAUCACCUCACCACCGAAAUUCAGAGGCGGUUUGUCCCCACGUGUUUGUGGCGUUGUAAAGGCUUACCAGCACUAUUCGCUCGCAUCGUGGGUGCACUGCUUGCCAUUGGAGAAAUCCCCAUUCAUCAAAGGUUGACCUCGGAUCAGGUAGGGAUACCCGCUGAACUUAA
rnacentral:misc_RNA from 4 species